UACGAACUGUGCAAACGUUAUUCGGAAUCACUGGGCUUACAGGGUGCGUAGGCGGUCUGUUAAGUAGGGUGUGAAAGCCCCCGGCUCAACCGGGGAAUUGCGCCCGAAACUGGCGGACUGGAGUGAGAUAGGGGUGUGCGGAACUUCCGGUGGAGCGGUGAAAUGUGUUGAUAUCGGAAGGAACGCCGGUGGCGAAAGCGGCACACUGGAUCUCAACUGACGCUGAGGCACGAAAGCCAGGGGAGCGAACGGG
rnacentral:rRNA from 1 species